GAAUAUGUACUUAGUGAUAAGUAAGGAUCAUUGAAGAAUAACAGAAAGUAAAAAAAAUGACUAAUAUACAUAAAUUUAUUAUAGCAGUCUUCGUUGCGGCUCUUCUAUGCUCAACAGGUAUGUAGGAAAUUUACAUAAUAGAGUUUGAAUCUUCGUUAUAAUAUUUCUCCUAUGCAUAUUAAUUAUUAAUUAAACUAAUAUUACUCUUCUGAAUAGGUACGGCCAAAAUUCAACUUCGUACAGUGAAAUUUUUGGUAGUUGUGACCUAUAUCAUGAUUGUAAUUCAUACUGCAUUGGUCAAGGCUAUGUGUUGGGGGAUUGUAUUCCAAACGAAAAUAAAACUUGUUGUUUUUACAAAUUUUAAUAUUUGAAGCUAUGGAUUUUCUUCUUGUUUGAAGAAAACAUAAUGUUUUAUAAAUAUAUGUAAGUUUCAUUAUAAGGAAAUAAAACAUGAAAUGUUAUCAUAAAGUUUGAG
rnacentral:lncRNA from 1 species